AACCCGACUCUUUUACUUUCAUUCUACGGGAAAAAAGAGAUAAAAAAGCGAAACUGGGAAUUUCCCCAGCCGUCACCAGGGGUUUAAAAGGCACCGGGCAGCACCGCGCCGGCAGAGCCGGAGAGACGGCGGGGCCGGCGGCCGGGAGCCAGUGGAGCAGCUGCCCUUGGAUGGGUUGUGGAAGGCGGGACUGCCAAGAGCGCUCUCUCUCCGGUCAAGGGUUACCCCAGGCUGUUGGCAUGGGCUCAGAAGCGAAAGGUGAAUGGUUUCGCAGAGUUCUCGUUUACACCCUUUCCCCUCCCCACCCCCACCCUUCCCCUGCAAAAUCAUUUUGUGGAAUCCAAAAGGACAAAGAAAGGAUGGUGAAUGGCUCAGGAGGGGGUUUCCAGCCUGGAAGAUACCAAACUUCUAAAAGGAAAACCUGUAGAAGGAUGUGUUUUGCUAGGUAAAUUCAGAAUGCAAAAUUUUUCAAGUGCAAUUCAAAAGGCUUGGAAUAAAACAGAAUAAGAAAUAUCUUAGUAGUGUCCCCUUCACAUGUCCUGCCCAGAGACUUUCUGAUUUUAAGUUCUACGUCACUUUUCCUGCUCUGCACGAGAACAGAGAGCUGACUCCAUAACCCCUCUUUCCUCUCACAAGAGUGCUUUUCCAAGGGGAGACAGAUACUGAGGUGUGAAUAUCAAGGAGAAAAUAUGUGAAAUGCUCAGGAUAGUUUCCUCCCAUUCUCUUGAAAUGAAAUUGUACUGCUUCCUUCUUGUGUGAAGAGGUCCCUAGUCUCCUUUAUUGUCUGUGAAUUAGACUCUGCUUUAGAUUUGCUAUACAUUUCUCAUUUAUUUUUCUUUGAAAAAUAAUUUAAUCAGAAGUAUUCUGAAGUGAUCAGUUUUCAACCCCUUCAGCUUUGAGCUGCUUGAUUUUAUUAAUGAUUACCCAUGACUAUGCUUUGGGCAAAUAAUAGGGAUCAAUAUCAAGACAGUUCCACACAAGGAGCACCUGUGCUUGCUUUUUCCUUAAGUGAGUGGCAGCUUGGAUGUGAUGUAUUGUUCAGUUCUUGAAUGUGAACAACGAUUUUGCCUCAUUAAUGGCUAAAUUAUCUAGUUCUUAUUGUGCCUUAUGUUGUCACUUUUUUGCUUAUUUUCAUUUACUGUUUUCUUUUUGCUCUUCUGUCGAAUAUUUUCUGAAAACAUCUUUGUGCAUUUCAGUUUGCGGGCAUGUGCAGCUCUGAGAAUGCCACAGGACUCUUCUUUUGGGGGAUUAAUACCUGGUGUAAUGCAAGCAAAUUUUUGACUAUCUCUUCUACAGUGUGGUACUUGAAGACUUGCACUUUCAAUAGUCAAAUGUUUUGAAAAAUACGCACUAUGAAGCUGCAGUCUGGCAAAACUAUCACCAAGACCAAAUUUCCUUCUAAGAAACUUUCCUUCUAGUAGUUAUUCCAAUUUCUUACAUUAGUACAUGUGUGUUCACAAAAUGAGAUAGUAUAUGCAGAUUGUCAGGGUGCAAAAUAUAAAGGAAAAACUUUUUUAGCUGCUUUGUUAAUGUUAGUUUUAUGGCUGAAACAUCAGGAAGACUGAUAAUUAGUUCAAUUUAAUUUUUUAAUUUAAAUAAUGUAAUUGAUGGAAGAAGUCAGCAUAGUAGCUUAAUGCAUUAAUGUAAACAUGACUGAAAGAUGAUGCUGAAGUCUUGUAAUAAGAAUUUUGCUCUUUCCUCCAAUUUUGCUCUUUCCUUCAGUAGCGGCAGGACUUUAUUUUAUUUUAUUUUUAAGAUAAAAAGUCUGGUAACGCAUAGGAAACUUUUUCUUCAGUCAAAGUGACAAAUAGAUGUUGUGAUCUGUGCUAUGCCCCAUAUCACGUGUUUAGAUGCCAAUCAAUCCCUCUUAUGUGACCUAACCCUGGACCAUGGCAUAAACUUUAGAUGAAGAUAUUAUUUGAUAUAUUUGUAUGUAGAAGGUGCUUAAAUAUUCCAACUUUGUCUGCUUUUAAAAAUAUCUUGAAUCACUAUAUGAAUUUUAUUUUCCAAGUGUUUCUUUUCAUGAUUUAGCAAUAUUUUGGGUUUUUUUCCUGAAAAGGCUACCUGCCAGAAGAUCAAAUUCAAGUGUUCAGAAGUGUACUGUAUUUUUUAAAGGAAAAAACAAACACCAGCCAGUUGAAAAAUUAAAAGAUGGAAUUUAAAAUCUAUUAUGUGAAUAUCAUCUUCACAAGCUGUUUUAAUCAAGAAAUCAUUAAAAGAGUCCUGAACAUGUAAAAGCCUAUCCCAGCUGAGUUUUACCUUGUUUAAAUGACUGGUAUCACUUUGCCUGUUUUGAAAAAUACAGUUGAUGCUGAGCUGUAAUAGACACCUCUCCCUCUGGAGUGGAAUUGAGCUGCAGCUUGUCUGGGGCAUUUGUAGCAGAAUAAAACUGAAAUAUUUCUGUAGAAUUUCCGAGACAUUAGGUGUCCCACUUCAUUUUCAUGCCUUGAGAAUUUACAGCUGACUGAUUUAAUAGGAGAUAUAUUAGCCUUAUUAUGUAGAUAAUUGGACUAAGAUUCCAAAUAAGCAAUCUCUGGAAAGAUGUAGUCCAAUGCAGGGCAUUGCUGCAAAUGUGUGUAGUUUUCUCUUUCGCAUUAUUUUUGACAAGAACUUUUUAAACCAUAAAAGAGGGUACCACAAAUUGUGUAUCUAACAACUGAAAGGCACUGGUAAUUUAUAGCUAUUCUUGUAUGACCAUAUUUCACAUUCAAUACAUAUUCUGAGGACAAUUUCUCUAAACGUGUUUAAAUUUAGAGAUCCAACUGUCACCUGACGUGGUCAAAUUUAUUCUUAGAAAAGCAGGUAUUACAUAUUAACCUCCACCAGAAUACUAAUAUUGCUACAUGAGAACUACAUGAUUGCAAAGCAUAUCACUUCUUGUUAAGAUUCCGUUCUCCAAAGACCAAAUACUUCUGGGAUUGUUGCUGUCUUUCUCCAGCUGUUGCUUGUCGACUUGAACAGCUCUUUUGAUCAUGACUUUAGAUUUGACUUAAGCUACUUGAAAAUUUACAGUACCAUUAGUGAAUUAUUGUAUUAUUUAAUAAAGUUUAAAAGUUAUAAAUAUUUUUAUGUCAUUUUGGAAUAAAAUGUAUGUGCACCAGUUGUCACAAACCAGUGGAACUCAGGAAAGUGUGACCACAUUUAUGCUCUUAUUUUUAAGAACAAAUAUGUCUAAUACUUAAAUUUUUCUCAACUGACUGGGGGGGGGGUGGGGAAAAAAAAAGAAACAUAUUCCCCCCUACUCCUUCCACUAAAUAAAUCUGAACCCACAAGAGAAUCCUUAUUUAACUGGGAUUCAGAGUCAUGUUUAUUGUGCACACAAAACUCUCACUGACACUCAGCUGUGGGAAGUUCUAAUCUUCUGCUGUAUUUAGGCAAAACCAAGGGACCUAAUAUUAACACUGCACUAGAACACCCACUUUUAAAUAAUUAUUGUUGCUACUUUUUGUGUACAAAUCUUUUGGUCUGAUACUGUGGUGAGUGCUGAAAAAACCACAGGAACUGAUUGAUAAACUGUUUUUAACAUGGAAUUAUAUCUCAUGUUCAUUCAAGUGUAAUGGAUGCAUCUCUUUUUCUUUGAGAAUUUUCUUUUUAGAAUUAAAAAAAGAACAAAAAUAUUUCUGGAAAACUAUUAAGAUUUGUUUAAGUGUGGGAAACUCAGAGGAAUGUUUCAUUAUCAAGCUGCAGAAUGGUAGUAGUUAUUACUUUCUCUUCCUGUCUUGCUGUGCAGGAAGAUGCCAAUAAAGAUUUUAUCAAGAGCAAUGUGCCAAAUGAGGCUAUUUUGAGAAGGCACCACCAGGAAGGGGAGGUCUCCCUGGAGCAGCAGUGUUGAGGAGAUGGUGGCAAUCAGGUUGGUGGCCCCAGAGCUGGGCAUGGAUCAGGCUUUGUCCCUGUUUCCAUCAGGCCCCAGCAGUGUCUGGGUGUGCUGCUGGAGCCGGGGCCGUGCCUGGAACCCAGCAGGGACCGUGCCCCUGGCUCACAGCCCCUGCCCUCCUCACCCCGCCGAGCUCUCAGCUCAGGCUGGCUUGUUUCGGUGCCUCAAUGAGCCUGAACAUGGGAAAAAUUAAUAUUUCAGCGGGAAAAAUGAUAAAAUCCCGUUCCUGCUUUAGUGAGGCACAGAAGAAAGAAGGGGUUGGGUGUUGGUUUCUGUCAAUGCAUAUUCUUUUACUUUUCCUACUUUAGCAAGUGCCUUUUUUAGGGAAGACAGGAGGUCUGGUAACAACAAUAAUCUUUGCACAUAUUAGCCCAUAUUGAAAUAAUGACAAUUUCACUGCAUUUCAGGGUCAUGAAAUUUCCUUUGGGUUUGGUGUUGUGUUCUGAAGAGUUUAUUUUCCAAACUUAUAAUAAAAUAGUUUUUAUGAUUUGAGUGAA